AAGGAGCUGGCUGAAGUUCAGGAAGUAGUGCAGCUGGGUAUAAAGCCUAUUGCUACCAUUAAAAAGGUUUAACCAUAUACCACCAAAUAAAGGUUUAAAAAUAAAGUCUAAACAAUAUAUUUAUAGGCUACAUACAUUCAGGCUGGUCCAUUAUGCUACACAUUUUAAAAAUAAUUGAACCACAUCUACAAACUUAUUUUGGUGAUUUAGCCCACAAGUUACUUAAACUGGCAUGCCCAUUGUUUUUACAAUGAAUUAAAUGGCUUUUUUUACUGCGUUUGCCACAGUAUUCAAUCCUACACGUUAUUUUACUACAGUACAGUAGGCGGCGGUAUACUGUAGUGUGCAGUUCGUGUCCGCAUCGUCAUACGCGCCAGUAUUGCUGGAAGACUGCAGGAACAGAACCCCCUGGAAAGAUGAGUUCCUUAUUAAAGAAAGGCUUGAUGCUGUUUACUCCACACUCUUAGGCUGACUUUGUAUUAUUUGUCUGUGAAGACAGUUCACAGUUUCUGAAUCCCAUCAAGAAUGAAGACCUGGAGGCCACCAUAUUGAGAUGGUCCGAUGUCAUGAUAUGGCGCUUUUCCAAUGUAGGGUACAACUUGGCUCGGCACGAUGCAGCUCAGCUCGCUUUCGUUGCUUUUCCAGUACAGUUUAGUGUCGCUUCAGAGUGGGUGAGAUUAUAGGCAGGGGUGCACAUAACUGGUGCGUAUGCUCAAAUAGAAAAAAUUCUAGUGUACCAACGUUGCUGGAAUUUUGUUACAUAGUUAGCUAAUUUACUUUGACAUAAGAGAUUUCUUCGUGCAUCAGUGGUAAGAUAAUUAAUGUGUGUUGUUAGCAGUGAUCCGCAUCUCAAUGCUUCAGACAGCUUGCUAGUACAAGUAUACAUUUAUAUGAGUUAGGCUAGUAGUUAUUUAUAAAGAUUAGAUAAGUAAAAAACAAUAACCAGGGUUAUUUUAUGUACAUCAUUGUCUACCAUGUUUAAACAAAAGCGAUAUGGCGAAGAGAGUAGUCAGGAGAAAAGUGAUGAUGUCAGCAUGUAGGAUGUCUGUGCUAUGAAUAGUGUGAGUACCAAGUAACAUCUCCAGGUACUUCUUUGAGAACCAGGACAAAAAAAGUUAUGUGCACCCCUGAUUAUAGCCUUAUUGUUAAAGUUGCGUCCUCUCUACUGCCGUAACAUCAUCGUAAAUGUGAUACAAACACACACACACACAACAUGGAGCAACAGAGCAUAUUAAUGGAAUGCAGCCACAAAAUCAAAAUUGACAGCCACAAGUAGAUUUUCCACUACCUCUCUCACAUGACAGGUUCUAUACAAACACCCGUGUCAUCAGUACCUGUACUCCGCUGACAGAACAUUUACGCCUAUACUUUUGGUGCGUUUUGAAUGCGGAGCCAUGCGCAAAGUUACAAAACUGCCAUCCAGACAUGGGCGCGGUGGUGUGCUCUGCAUUUUUGUAACUUUGCACAUGGCUUCGCAUUCAAAACCCCUUCCCCAAAAGUGAGCUGUGCUGAACUGGGUCAUACUAUGCAAUGGAAAAGCGCCAAAAGUGUCCUACUUCCUGGCUUGAAUGAUUUAGGUAAGCAAAUUUAUCUGAUACACCAAAACCUAAAACGUUUUAAUUCUUUCUUGCAGUGUUAACACGGCAUUUUGAUCUUGAUAUUUAUUCACAUUUAAUGAGAUAUGGAGAUUUUUAUCUUUUACAGAUGAAGACAUACAUUUAAGUGAGCCGUUUUUAUGUCCAUACACUGCGGGCCAGCAUACAUGAAAGUCACCAUCAUGUUUCUACAGUAGCCCUAAAUGGACAAACUGUUCUACAGAGCGUGUUUCGUCCAUACGUUGUCUCAAGGGCUCAAUAUAGCAAACAUACAUGUAGACCGCUGAUAGGCAGUAUCCACGCAUGUAACCACAGAAGCAGCUUGGUCAGUUUAACUCACAAAUGAAGAAACAGCAGAUUGUUGCGUAUGUUUUGAGAAGACCAGCAGCAGUGGCGGCCGGUGACUUCUUUUUUUGAGGGCGCUCGAUGCAAAGUUCAUCACAACAUGUAUGUAGCUUGUCAUGUGUGUGGUUCCUUUUUUCAAAAUAUGUGUUCUGCGCUAUGAGAGAUCCUGUAAGUGCCUGCUGCAGAUGCGUCUAAAGGGUUUAUGAUAAAAGAGACGCUCGCUUUUGCCAGAUACUCGCAUAAUCCCAUGUGUAAUCAGAGUUUAGUGUUAAGGGAGUGUCUUGUGUGUAUUUUGUGAACGUGAGCGUCUCUUUUAUCAUAAACGGUUUUGACGCAUGUGCAGCAGGCACUUAUUUUGACAAAAUAUGUGAUGCACAUAGGAUCUCUCGACACGCAGGACACAUAUUUUGGAAAAGGGGACCACACACAUGAUACUCCGAACACUUAUUUUGAA